rnacentral:RNase_P_RNA from 1 species
GCGGAUGGCUGGAUGACCGCAGGUUUGACCUGAGGAAAGUCCGGACACCAAAAGGCAAGGUGCCGGGUAACGCCCGGCGGGGGUAACCCUAGGGACAGCGCCACAGAGAACAGACUACCCUGCAUGCAGGGAAAAGGUGAAACGGUGGAGUAAGAGCCCACCGCGGGACUGGCAACAGGACCGGCAAGGCAAGCCCCACCUGGUGCAAUGCCAAAUAGGGACCUCGCGCCCGUUAGGGCAGGGACGCCUAACCCCGAGAGGUCCGGGUUGGCAGCUAGAGGGCAGUUGGUAACAAUUGUCCAAGAUGAAUGGUCAUCCAAGGGGUCAAACCCUGGACAAAAUCCGGCUUAUAGGCCGUCCGCGCAU